GAAAACUGUGGCGUGCGUUAUUGUUUAUGCUAUACAGCUUAAAGCUCUUGCUUUUACCUUUUUUAUUUUUCUGCACGAAUUUCGGCACAUGGUGUAGAAUAAUUAGGGAGUGGAGCUCAUUGCAGUAUAAUUUUGGGAUGGGUGUAAGCAGCAAGUGUAUGUAUUUACCUCGGAAGACGGGUGUUUUUUUUUCAUAUCCACUUGGGCAAGAUCUGGAGGAUUCAAUGAGGCUAAACAUUAUAGGAGUGUUAAGUGUGUGCGGGACAAGUCAUCCAUACCCUAGGUGUUAGCCUUACAGAUUCUUCAGCCAGAGUUUCUUUUGACAGAUAAAACACUAUGAUUUCUCUACGAGAAAUAGACAUAAAUUUGAUUCAAAUAUUCCAUUCAAUUUCUGAAGAGAUCAAGGAACUUCAAUAUGAUUUGUCAAUGAAGCCAUGGGAGAUGGAGGAAAUUGAAAAUGAUGGCUCUCUGUGUCUUUACGUUCAAGAAGUUACAAUAGAAGCAUCUGCAGAACCCCAGAUUUCCAACUCAGAUACUAGAGAUCUAUGGAGAGAAGUUUUUGAAAUUACUAUGUGACUACAUUGUGUUUUUCCACAGCAAUUUGUUUCCUUGCUAAACAUAUUCAAAUAAUGAGGUAUCUGUACCUAGACAGAUAUAGGUAUACAUAUACAGUAUAGUUCCUUUUUCAGGACUAUCAUUUCUCUGCAGUUUAGACAUAGUACAGCUUUGAUUAAUGAGCUAACUAACUGAGGCAAGUGUGUCAAUGAGGAGACUGUAAUGUUUUUAAGAUCAACUCACAGCAGGUCUGGCUUAGAGAUUUAACUUUUAUGGCUUGAAAUUAUCUACUGUAUCCAGUCCCUGAGUUGAUUUUGUUUGGUACAUAAUCUAUACCCAACUGCCUUAUUUUCAUGUAGUAAAACUUGAGUCUAUAUUAGAACACCAAACUUUCAAUACUUCAAGUGUUCUAAUAUUGAACCCUAGUCAACGAAAAUUUAAA